UCAAUAAGCGGAGGAAAAGAAACUAACAAGGAUUCCCCUAGUAACGGCGAGUGAAGCGGGAAGAGCUCAAAUUUGUAAUCUGGCGGUCUCGCGGCCGUCCGAGUUGUAAUCUGGAGAAGCGUUUUCGGUGCCGGCCCGCGUACAAGUCCCCUGGAACGGGGCGUCGCAGAGGGUGAGAAUCCCGUCUCUGACGCGGCACGCCGGCGCCGUGCGAUGCGCUCUCGAAGAGUCGAGUUGUUUGGGAAUGCAGCUCAAAACGGGUGGUAAAUUCCAUCUAAAGCUAAAUACUGGCGAAAGACCGAUAGCGAACAAGUACCGUGAGGGAAAGAUGAAAAGCACUUUGGAAAGAGAGUCAAACAGUACGUGAAAUUGUUGAAAGGGAAACGCUUGAAGUCAGUCGCGUCUCUCGGGACUCAGUCGGACCCUAGGGUCCGACGCACUUCCCGAGUCGGACGGGCCAGCGUCGAUUUCUAUCGCCGUAAAAAGGCGCGAGGAACGUGGCACCUUCGGGUGUGUUAUAGCCUCGCGUCGUAUGUGGCGGUCGGGAUCGAGGAACGCAGCGCGCGCCCUAGGGCACGGGGUUCGCCCACGUAACGCGCUUGGGACGCUGGCGUAAUGGCUUAA
rnacentral:rRNA from 1 species